rnacentral:tRNA from 1 species
GGGUCGUUGUCUCCACGCGGCGCUGUAAACGCCGUGCCGUUUAUCAACAUGUGGAGUGGUUGCGGCGCGAGAUUCGAUUCCUCGACGACCCACCA